rnacentral:ncRNA from 1 species
GACUAUCGAAGGAUAAGACCUUAAUUCAUAGUC